rnacentral:rRNA from 1 species
UGGGGAAUAUUGGACAAUGGGCGCAAGCCUGAUCCAGCCAUGCCGCGUGAGUGAUGAAGGCCCUAGGGUUGUAAAGCUCUUUUGUGCGGGAAGAUAAUGACGGUACCGCAAGAAUAAGCCCCGGCUAACUUCGUGCCAGCAGCCGCGGUAAUACGAAGGGGGCUAGCGUUGCUCGGAAUCACUGGGCGUAAAGGGUGCGUAGGCGGGUCUUUAAGUCAGGGGUGAAAUCCUGGAGCUCAACUCCAGAACUGCCUUUGAUACUGAGGAUCUUGAGUUCGGGAGAUGUGAGUGGAACUGCGAGUGUAGAGGUGAAAUUCGUAGAUAUUCGCAAGAACACCAGUGGCGAAGGCGGCUCACUGGCCCGAUACUGACGCUGAGGCACGAAAGCGUGGGGAGCAAACA